UACACACACACACACAAGUAAA
rnacentral:miRNA from 1 species